rnacentral:rRNA from 1 species
CAGCAGCCGCGGGAAUACGAAGGGUGCAAGCGUUACUCGGAAUUACUGGGCGUAAAGCGUGCGUAGGUGGUGGUUUAAGUCCGUUGUGAAAGCCCUGGGCUCAACCUGGGAAUUGCAGUGGAUACUGGGUCACUAGAGUGUGGUAGAGGAUAGUGGAAUUUCCGGUGUAGCAGUGAAAUGCGUAGAGAUCGGAAGGAACAUCUGUGGCGAAGGCGACUAUCUGGGCCAACACUGACACUGAGGCACGAAAGCGUGGGGAGCAAACAGGAUUAGAUACCCGAGUAGUCCCUGUCUCUUAUAC